rnacentral:tRNA from 1 species
GCCUCCAUAGCUCAGCUGGUUAGAGCACCUGACUCUUAAUCAGGGUGUCCGGGGUUCGAGUCCCUGUGGGGGCA